AGAGUUUGAUCCUGGCUCAGGACGAACGCUGGCGGCGCGCCUAACACAUGCAAGUCGAACGAGAGGGAGGGAGCUUGCUUCCUCAAUCGAGUGGCGAACGGGUGAGUAACGCGUGAGGGACCUGCCUCAAAGAGGGGGACAACAGUUGGAAACGACUGCUAAUACCGCAUAAGCCCACAGGUCGGCACCGACCAGAGGGAAAAGGAGCAAUCCGCUUUGAGAUGGCCUCGCGUCCGAUUAGCUAGUUGGUGAGGUAACGGCCCACCAAGGCAACGAUCGGUAGCCGGACUGAGAGGUUGAACGGCCACAUUGGGACUGAGACACGGCCCAGACUCCUACGGGAGGCAGCAGUGGGGAAUAUUGCACAAUGGGGGAAACCCUGAUGCAGCGACGCCGCGUGGAGGAAGAAGGUCUUCGGAUUGUAAACUCCUGUUGUUGAGGAAGAUAAUGACGGUACUCAACAACGAAGUGACGGCUAACUACGUGCCAGCAGCCGCGGUAAAACGUAGGUCACAAGCGUUGUCCGGAAUUACUGGGUGUAAAGGGAGCGCACGCGGGAAGACAAGUUGGAAGUGAAAUCUAUGGGCUCAACCCAUAAACUGCUUUCAAAACUGUUUUUCUUGAGUACUGCACAGGUAGGCGGAAUUCCCGGUGUACCGGUGGAAUGCGUAGAUAUCGGGAGGAACACCAGUGGCGAAGGCGGCCUACUGGGGCACCAACUGACGCUGAGGCUCGAAAGUGUGGGUAGCAAACAGGAUUAGAUACGCUGGUAGUCCACACCGUANACGAUGAUUACUAGGUGUUGGAGGAUUGACCCCUUCAGUGCCGCAGUUAACACAAUAAGUAAUCCACCUGGGGAGUACGACCGCAAGGUUGAAACUCAAAGGAAUUGACGGGGGCCCGCACAAGCAGUGGAGUAUGUGGUUUAAUUCGACGCAACGCGAAGAACCUUACCAAGUCUUGACAUCCCUUGACGAUGCUGGAAACAGUAUUUCUCUUCGGAGCAAGGAGACAGGUGGUGCAUGGUUGUCGUCAGCUCGUGUCGUGAGAUGUUGGGUUAAGUCCCGCAACGAGCGCAACCCUUACUGUCAGUUACUACGCAAGAGGACUCUGGCAGGACUGCCGUUGACAAAACGGAGGAAGGUGGGGAUGACGUCAAAUCAUCAUGCCCUUUAUGACUUGGGCUACACACGUACUACAAUGGCGUUAAACAAAGAGAAGCAAGACCGCGAGGUGGAGCAAAACUCAGAAACAACGUCCCAGUUCGGACUGCAGGCUGCAACUCGCCUGCACGAAGUCGGAAUUGCUAGUAAUCGUGGAUCAGCAUGCCACGGUGAAUACGUUCCCGGGCCUUGUACACACCGCCCGUC
rnacentral:rRNA from 1 species